AAGAACCUGAAUGAACCUUUUGG
rnacentral:miRNA from 1 species